ensembl:lncRNA
CUGUUUGUUUGGAGUGUUUUGUAAACCGUGUUUCUCAGAAAUGGAAGUUUGUAGGAUGCAGGGGUCUGUGGCUGCCCCUUUAGCUUACAAAGGAUAGUACAAAACGAGAGCAGCUCAUCACCAAGAUUCUUCCUUGUAGCUGUCCUGAACUUUUCUUCUCUCUGCCUGUUGCCACUUGGAAUGUCCCCCAGGACCACGGUGCUGAGCAUGACCCUUACUUGAAACACAGUCUAGUGCAGUAUAAUAAAUUCUCAGUCAUAGAAAUGAGAAAUCUCUGCGUCUCCCAGGAUCAGCCAACACACAGACACAGAUUUCUAGAUGGUGACCAUCACGUUCUUCCAUUGCUCCUGCUGCCUG